CCAUUUUGUCAAGUGGUAAAACAUUCAGAGUGUCUGUCAUGUUUGAAUCUGAUUUUGUCUGUAUGGGAGGAAAUUAAACACUUUACACCUCCUGCUGUGUCAAAAACAAGAUGGAUCAAAACAUUGCUGAUAUUCUGAACGAUGCAUUCAAAGAAACAGAGGCAAACUUUGAGCAUCUAAACUUUGAUGAUGAUGCAGCAACCGCACACAGCAUUAAUGUGCUUCAACAUGAGCCAGAUGUGGAGGAGGACGACAGUCACAGAGAAUCCAGUGGAUCUGAUUGUGACAUAGAUUUAGAGUGGACGAAUAGGGAAGAGGAAACUAAGCACUGUUUUGAGAACAAUAGGAACUUCUCUUUAGAUGAACAAAGCAUGAAGGCAGGAUCUACGCUUUGUGGUUCACGGGAUGACAACGAUGCAGUCGAAAAUAAAACACAAACCCAAAACCAGCAAUUAAGCUUCCAUGAAGAGGAUUGCAGAGAGAAUGAAUUUGAGAUACAUGAAGGUGUCCAUCAAAUGAGCAAGGAACAAUCUGAAGAUGUCAAUGUGCUGGAAACGGUUCUCCCAAAAGAAACUCACUAUGGUCUGGAUACAAUGAGAGCACGGACUCAGGAGGAGAUCACAUCUCAUCUACUGUCCUACCAGAUGGUGGACAAAUCUGAAAAUGAGAGCUCAACAUUAAAAGAGGAAAGAAUGGAGCCUGACAGCACUGAGGAGCAUGUCCUUCAGCAUGCACCAGAUGAUAAGCAGCUCAAUAAUUUUAGUGCCAUUCAGUCAACAUUGCAAGACUGGCCAGUAGCCUUAGCGGAGGUUCAGUCUAUGAAUGAGAUGAAAGAAUUUACAGAAGAAGAUCAUGAGGACCAUGAGAGAGACGAGGAAGCUUUAGCAGAGUAUUCCUCUGAUCUGUCUCAAAGUGACAGUGGGGACAGCAGUGAAGGUCCCGAGGGUGGACAACCCAAUCACAUGGACACCAAGCAAGCUGAGGUGCAGGCUGUAGGCCCAGAAGAACCUCUCCUGCCUUACAGUGUUGUAACUUCAAGGGAAGAUGAUGUCCAAAAGAAAGAUGAAUGCAUGGAUCCUGCAGACAUGCUCACUUAUGUCAAGAAUGAGGAUCUGUAUGUGGAGACAACAACUGGGAAAUCCGAUGAUGACAUAUUGUUCCAAACAGAUGCUGAAUAUCAUCGUGAGAUUUCAAACAUUGGGGAAAGUUCUGAUUAUGGAAUCAAAUCAAAUUCCAAUGAAUCCUACAUGAAUGAGCAGCCUGACUAUGACAGUCAUUUCAGCAGUGAUGGUGACGAUUACUGCAAAAACCAAGAAGAUACACCUGAUUUCAUUUCACGUACUGUCUCAGAGGACAAAAACACAGCUCUCCAGAAACAAGAGCACACCUUCACAAAGGACUUUGCGACAGACUGGCACAGUAUUGAGCACAAACUAGUGGAUGGGGUGGUCAAAGAUAGCUUGAAACCAGAGAUGUGUAAUGUAGAAGGUUUAUCAAGCAUUCCAGCAUCUCAUGGAACUGUAAUGGAUGCUUCUUCUGAGACUGAUUCAUCUGAAAGUGUUGGUGAGUCACAUCCAUCAGUGAAAACAGACCAGAACAACAAAGAAUAUAACAGUGAACAUUCAAAAGUUUCAGACACUGGAGAAAAUGUCCACACUUUGUUACCUGGGACGUUUUGGUCACAGGACAUUCUGAAGCUUGAUGAAUAUGACUGGGACAUUAAUGGAGAAGAGUUGAUCUGUGAUGAAGAGGACAAUUACCUGGAAGAGCUGGAGAACGAUGGGGAGGAGACCGAGAGGGACUGGGAGAAAGAAAAGGCAAGAAUUGAAGCAUUUAACAGAUACUACGAGUCUGUCGAAGGCAAGGAAAACAAGGGGAGAAGCCACAAAGUGACAUUUUGUUUGGAGCCAGAAUCCUCUCAGUAUGAGGAGGAUAGAUACAGUGAAGAGGAACCAAGCACAAUAGGUUGCAUCAGUGAGUUGCAUCCUCCAGAGUCCAGUUCAAUCAAACAAGACCCAAGCAACAAGGCAGACAGCCAUGAACCCUCACACAUCAGAGAAAAUAUCUGCACCCUUCUGAUGGAUGAGGACAACAUGAGACUUGAUGAUUAUGACUGUGAUAUUAAUGAAGUUCAAAUGAACUCAAGUAUAAUGAUAGGUGAUGACGAUCGCGAUUUCCUGGAGAAGCUGAAAAUUGAAAUAGAGAGGGAUAUGAAGCAGGAACAAGCGAGAAUUGACGCAUCGAACAGAUAUUAUGAAGAGGACCAAAAUGAGGUCACAGACAGGACCCACAAAGUUAUGUUAAGAUUUCGCCAACAAUCUUCGCAAAUUGAGGAAGAUAAUGAUAGCAGUGAACAGGAAUCAAACACAGAAGAUGACACUGCCAGCAUCCUGAGGACUGAGGACCAAAGUUAUUCUGAUGAACCAAAUGAGAGACGCUUGUACACAGGAAGGUACAAAGUCUUACCAAAGGGGUUACAAAAGGCAGACAAGCAGCUGAAGGAACAACCCAAGAGAAAUAAGUGUCUUGUCCUGCUGCGUUCAGUGUUAGCAGUGAGUCUAGCGACGGCGGUGGGUGUUCUGUCUUACUGGUGGGCCACAGACAGCCUGGACUGGAUCUACUGAAUUCACAAGAAUCUUGGAUAUUCAACAUGAUUAAAUACACACACACACACACACACAAAGAAAUCAAGGCCUCUGCAAGUGUGAUAGAGAAACCAUUGCACAAGGCCAUGCAAAAUCUCAUGAAACGAACAAACCAGCAGACUGAGACAAAACCAACUUUAUUUCCUUACAGUAUGCAACCUAAUAUUGUAAUGUUUGAACAGCGCAUUGAAAUACAGCUUUGAAAAAUGUUUAUAUCUUUUAACAUUGUUUUCUUAUGUUAACCACAUCUAGAGAGAUUAAUCUUCCUCCUUUUUACUAGGAAAAGUGAUACAUUUGCAGAUGUAUGUGGUCUCUGGGCCCUACAGGAAACCUGUACAAACAAGUGCUUUCAAUGUAAAACUGACCUGGAAAAACAAAACAAAUAAAUACAACUGAUACAUUUUCAAUUUCUUCAUCCCUGACUAGAUCUGACUGCAGUUGAAGGGACUUUCUUUUAUUGUUAUCUCAUUUGUCAUCCUAUUAGGUUGUCAACAAGCUAUAUUCCAUAAACAUGCCAUGCAGUUAAUGUAUUUUUAGGUCUGAUUUUUAUUCAGUGCCUUCUUCACUACAGCAUAAAACAUGAUAUCAUAGUGCAGGUUACCAAC
ensembl:lncRNA uncharacterized LOC107550500